AGGCUCUCUAGGAAUCUGGGAGUAGUAGCUGGGGGGCAAGAGCAAAUAAAGAGCUCGAGCUUCUGUGGUCUCUGGGGAGAUGUUCCCGGGAAGCCUGUCUAGAGGGCGGAGGGCAGCUGUUGAGAUGGCGUGGCUCCCCGGCUCCUGCGCCCGCGUGGCUUUCGCGGCGGGCGCUGCGGCCCGGGCCACAUCUGCCAGAGCCUGGAGUCUGCGAAGGCCGGGACCCGGUUCCCCGGCCCACAGUGGGGGUGUGCAAACCCGAGAGAACUGGGUUGCAAAUUCGUGAAGAAUCAGCAUCAUGUUUGGCAGCUGAGUAUUGGAGCCAGGAGCCUGCCAUGAGGUUUUGAGAACAGAGUGCUGUUUUAGAGCUGGCAGCAGCAUCUCAGCCCAAGAGAAGGUUAUAUUCCCAGAGGAUGUCAGUCCCAAGGACCAGUAGCUGCCAUCAGUUUGGAUUCUGAAAACUAACUGGCAUCAACACUGGGUGUAGAAACAUGCUUGCCUUAUGUAUCAGAGGACAUGCUCAGCAGAUCCA
rnacentral:lncRNA from 1 species